rnacentral:tRNA from 2 species
CCACUUUUAGUUUAUGAAGAAUGGCGGCCUUGUAAGUCGCUGGAGUGAGUAGAGUCUCGCAAAGUGGU